CCUCUCGUUCCUCGCACAGAUUAGGGUAAAAUCCCCAAACCCUAACCUCUACACAUUUCUGCGUCUCUCUUUCUCUCUCGUCCCGUCCCAAUCAUUGACGGCGCGUGGGAUCCAUUUGUGGCGCGUGGGGGUCACGCCCGAGCUGAUUCAUGGUGCCUGAUGCUCCGCCUGCAUUGAGAAUCCUUAGCCGGAGCUCAACUGGAACCCUAGACGGAGCUUUGAAUUCUGUACAGUUAUGGCGUCCGCCGUCUUAGCGAAUCGGAACGAACCCAAUUGGCCACAGCAGCCCAGAGGCGGCGGCGGAGGCGGAGGAUUCAUGGGAAAAGUCCCUUUCUCAAACCCUAACCGUAACAACCCUAACCCUAAGACCAAAUUCCAAGCUCCUCCUCAUCAUCAUCAUCAUCAUGCCGCCGAUUUCAAUGACGAGUCACCGGCCGUGACCCAGACGGCGUCCGACGACGCUUCGUCGAUCAACCACCAUCGGCGAUCGAACACAACGAACACCGCCGCUGCCGAUUUCAACCUCAUUCAGUCCCAAUACGUCAGCUUCAACAUCGCGACCUAUUCAAGAAAAGAGCUCGUCGAGCUCAAGAAUCGCCUUCUCUCUGAGCUCGACCAGAUUCGUGUGCUCAAGAAUCGAAUCGAAGCCGGCGACUUCAACCCCAGGCCGGCCCAGCCCAAAAAGCCCAGCACCACCAAGAAGAUUGCCGGCUCGAAGCGGCCCUUGCCGAUCGCCCCCGGCAAGGAUUCGAACUCCAAUUUGAAGCGAUCGCAUUCGGAGAAUGUCAAUUUGAUGAAGAAUUGUGGGCAGAUUUUGUCCAAGCUGAUGAAGCACAAGCACGCCUGGAUCUUCAAAAAGCCUGUUGAUGUGGUGACAUUGAAGCUUCAUGACUACUAUGAUAUAAUCAAGCACCCCAUGGAUCUGGGCACUGUCAAAAUGAAUCUAUCCAAGAAUUUGUAUUCGACACCAUUGGAAUUCGCUGCUGAUGUGCGAUUGACCUUUGAAAAUGCCAUGCGGUAUAAUCCCCGAGGCCAUGAUGUCUACAACUACGCCAAUCAGCUUCGCUCUUUGUUUGAGGAGCUCUUCCAGCCCCUGAUUGACAAAUUGGGGGAUGGGUUUGGUGGGGAUCGAGUAGCUUCCGAUGAGGAGGAAUUGCAGGCCAGUUCUUGGAACCAUGUUGAGCCUGAGAGGCAUCCUCCUCCGCCCAGGAGGGAAGACCCAAUGCCCAUGAAGAUCGAUAAGAAGACUGAGGUGGUUCGGCCCCCUCCGGCUCCAACCCCAGCUCCAGUCCCAGCCCCAGUGAGCUCAUCAAAUCCGCCAUUAGCUAAUUCUCCAGUGAGGACAAGUUCGCAAGUGAAGGGGCCGCCGCAAGUGAAGCCCUUGAAGCAGCCGAAGCCAAAAGCAAAGGACCCAAACAAGAGGGAUAUGAGCAUGGAGGAGAAGCAUAAGCUGGGACUUGGGUUGCAGAGCUUGCCUCAGGAGAAAAUGGAGCAAGUUGUGCAGAUUAUUAGAAAGAGGAAUGGGCAUUUAAAGCAGGAUGGGGAUGAGAUUGAGCUUGACAUUGAGGCUGUCGAUACAGAAACCCUUUGGGAGCUUGAUCGGCUUGUUACAAAUUAUAAAAAGAUGGUUAGCAAGAUUAAGCGUCAAGCACUGAUGGGCAACAACAGCAAUAGCAACAUUGCUUCUAACAGAGGAGGUCAAGAGGAAUUGCCUGCUAGUGAGAAAAUUGAUGUCUCAGCAGCAGAGCCGAAGAGGCCAAAGAAAGGGGAAGUGGGAGAUGAAGAUGUAGAUAUUGGUGAUGACAUGCCAAUGAGCAGCUUUCCUCCGGUUGAGAUUGAGAAAGAUGUUGGGGGCAAUGCCAGUAGUGAUAAUAGUUCAAGCAGCUCCGGCAGUUCAAGCAGUGGCUCCUCCUCAUCAAGCGAUUCAGAUUCUGGCAGUUCUUCAGGGAGUGACUCGGAUGAUGAUAACGCGCAGUCCUAGUUGUGCAUUGCAAUUGCAGCCUUGAAGAAGUGCUUUUACGGAAAGACCCAUGUGGGAAGCUGGCUGAAGAGAAGAGAAGAAUUCCUUGGAUGCAUGCUUUCUAUGUGGGGAAGGGCAUUAAAUGGUUUUCUGGAUUGUGAUGAUGAGGUUGGAGAAGGGUCUCCGAUCAGAACCGAGCAGAAAUUUUAGUUUGUGUGGGCAUUGGUUGUUUUGCUUGGAGGUGUAAAGAACUAUGAAAUGAACAAAAAAAUUGUUGUAGGUUUGUAGGGGGUAAAAUGUAGUGAAACAGAGUAGCGGAGAGCAGAGAGAGUAGUGAGAAGAGAGAAGAUUAGAGAGAUUGGAAAACACUUUGUACACAUUACAAGAGAUCAGCAGCAGCUAAGCUAGUACAUAAAUUUCUCCAAAUUCCCUA